GAUGAAGAACGUAGCGAAAUGCGAUAAGUAGUGUGAAUUGCAGAAUUCAGUGAAUCAUCGAAUCUUUGAACGCACAUUGCGCCCCUUGGUAUUCCAUGGGGCAUGCCUGUUCGAGCGUCAUUUGUACCUUCAAGCUUUGCUUGGUGUUGGGUGUUUGUCUCGCCUUUGCGUGUAGACUCGCCUUAAAAUAAUUGGCAGCCGGCAUAUUGGCCUUGGAGCGCAGCACAUUUUGCGCUUCUAGUCAUGAAUGUUGGCGUCCAUUAAGCCUAUACAUUUGCUCUUGACCUCGGAUCAGGUAGGGAUACCCGCUGAACUUAAGCAUAUCAAUAAGCGGAGGA
rnacentral:misc_RNA from 1 species